rnacentral:lncRNA from 1 species
UUGGGCAUCACACCGCCGUUGGCAAUAGUGACCGACCCGAGCAAUUUGCUGAGCUCUUCGUCGUUUCUCACCGCCAGUUGAAUAUGGCGAGGCACAAUACGGGUUUUCUUGUUGUCUCUCGCUGCGUUCCCAGCCAAUUCCAGAACCUGUAAGCCAAUUAUUCGAAUUGAGCAACUCAACACUUUGACAUCAUCAAGAAAACCUAAUAGUGCUACAAUAAACUACAGAAAAAUGACAGAAAACCAGAAAUCUAGGUCAAAAAGCUAAGAUGCGCAACAAAGAUUGAAAGAUCCGUCUCUCUCCUUCCUCCGUUUUUUCAGCCACAAAACAGGAGUUCAUACGAGCGAACAAAGAAACCGCCUGAGAAAUCUCAGAGAGAAACAUCAAACAUACCUCGGCAGCAAGAUACUCGAGGACGGCUGCAAGAUAGACCGGAGCGCCGGCGCCGACGCGCUCGGCGUACUUGCCAGCUUUGAGGAAGCGGGCGAUACGACCGACGGGGAAUUGGAGACCGGCCUUGCUACUCCGGGAAGUGGCCUUUUUGGCAGCGCCAGCGCCCAACGAUUUUCCUCUUCCAGCCAUAGUUGUUUCAGGGAAUGUGAGUUGCGAUCCUUGGAAAAAAGGAGAGAAAGGAUUAGGUGUUUCGAUGGAAAGUGUACUGUGGAGACCUUUAUUAUAUAGGCGCAUCGGUGAAGUAUCAGCCAAUCAAGUAGAGU